rnacentral:rRNA from 1 species
AUACGUAGGUGGCAAGCGUUGUCCGGAAUUAUUGGGCGUAAAGCGCGCGCAGGCGGUCCUUUAAGUCUGAUGUGAAAGCCCCCGGCUCAACCGGGGAGGGUCAUUGGAAACUGGGGAACUUGAGUGCAGAAGAGGAUAGUGGAAUUCCAAGUGGAGCGGUGAAAUGCGUAGAGAUUUGGAGGAACACCAGUGGCGAAGGCGACUGUCUUGUCUGUAACUGACACUGGGGCGCUAAAGCGUGGGGAGCAAACAGGAUUAGAUACCCUGGUAGUCCACGCCGUAAACGAUGAGUGCUAAGUGUUGGGGGGUUUCCGCCCCUCAGUGCUGCAGCUAACGCAUUAAGCACUCCGCCUGGGGAGUACGGCCGCAAGGUUAAAACUCAAAUGAAUUGACGGGG